AGAGUCCUGAUGUGUUCGUCGUAUAACCUAUUGUUUUGACCGAACAAUAAGUUAUACGGGAGCUCGGAGUUUUCUUACCGCGUACACGCCUCAUGGAUAGAGGACUUACAAAGGAGAAACAGAGCACCCACCUGCCUGGGUGCGGGUUCAAAACGAAGGCAUCGACGGCACAAUUGGGGCUCUU
rnacentral:other from 1 species